AUGCUUUCCCAUACGUUCAGUCACCUUUUGGCUCUUGAAAUAAGGAAAUACAUUAAGAUCCAGCCAUCCCGCUCUUUCCACACUGCUGUUUUCUCUCACUGGUCAAUAUCAGUUUGUUGUUUUCGGUGUGUUUUUGUACCCAUAUUGGCUUCAGCCUCUAGAAACUGAAGAGGAAUGACGAUGUCAAAUCCCUUGUAUAUGGGAUGCUUCAGAGACAGAAUUGGGGAGAGGAAUCAGGGCAUUGUGUUAAUUAAAGUUUUGUUGUUUUGUACCUUGUUGUUGUGAUUGUCAUUUGUUUAGUGUUGAAGUAUUAUAUUCUUGUUAUUAUUACUAUAUUAGUUUAUAUGGCACCAAGUGAGUCAGGACAGUUGAAUAGUCUCUACCUAUUUAACUAUAACUAUAACUAUUUAAACAUCACAUGCACAGCUAAAACAAGUCCAGACCGAAUUAAAUCCAACCUCUCUGACCCCAGGCCAAAAAUAGUCACCUAAAGAUUAUGUAACGCUAAACUGAUCUGUACUAAAACCAUAAAGAUCUAAACACUAAACCGAUUGAGAUUUUGACUUGAAAUUAGUGUAAAAUUAGAUCACAGAAUUAAUGAAUACAAGUCUAUUUAAAAUCAGAUUAGAUAUCGCAAAUUCUUACGCUGCACAGAAUCUCUAGAAGCCCCUCAACUGCUGAGCUGAUCUACAGUGGAGUUCAAAGGUCACUCUCACGUUUUCAUUAUAUUUCUUGCAGUUUGCUUUAAAAACAGUAGCUCUUGUGCUUAAAAGAACAAAACACAUACUUAUCACACAUUUGCUUAUUCAUUUUGUUCUGUGAUCUAAAAAUAGUGUGUGAGCUUAUAUUUGAAAGUACAUAAAAUAUAUUUGAAAUAUAUCAUUUGAAAAAAUAAUUAUAUAAAUUAUUUUAUAUAUAUAUAUAUAUAUAUAUAUAUAUGUAUAUGUAUAUAUAUAUAUAUAAAUGAGAAAUCUCUCUCUCUCUCUCUCUCUCUCUCUCUCUAUAUAUAUAUAUAUAUAUAGUAUUUUUAUACUAUUUUAAAUAAUUUCUUCAAAUAUUAAAAAAUUCUAAGAUAUUGUUUAUAUACAGGUUUAGAUUAGAUUUUGACUCUUUGACCCCACCAUAUAUAGUAAAAAAAAAAUGUAAUUUUCAAUAUGUAAUUACAGUACCAAGAAUUCAUGUGACUAGUUACAUUUAUAGAGAUUCAAUGCAGGGUAUGAUACAUAAUAUUAAAAAUUAAAUCAAUCUGAUUCGUUUAAAUUUUGUUGAUAAGAUCUAUUAUAGUUUAAAAGACAAUAACAGUUGUGUUUAUGGAUGAAGAACAGAAUUUAAUCAUAUAUUGUGUACUAAUGUACCGAUCAUGUAACUUUAAAAUGCUCUGUCAUACCGUUGAUCAAAGCUCUCUUUUUGUCUCUUUUUCUGUCCGUCUGUGAUGUGUGUGUGUGUGCAUUGAGUUUGGUCGUGGUGUCUAACAUAAUACAGAAUGUAGUCUCUUUCUACUUCUCUUUCUCUCACUCUCUGUCUGUGUUUAUUGGUAUUCAUGUCCAUGCGCACACGGCUGCACAGAGGCUUUUCAGCUGUUCCAAAUGUAGCUGUGGGACAUUUCAGUGAAGAAGACCAUCAGCUAGUGUCUUGGCAGAGUCCGCAUUUGCUGCUUUUCUGUUUGUUUGACUUUUUGACUGUGUGAAAAGAGAAUAUUGCUGUGUAUUUCUGUAAACAAUGACUGUUAGUUAAUAAAGAUGUGACCACAUUUAUAAGUUACUGUAUC
ensembl:lncRNA